UACGUAGGGGUCGAGCGUUGUCCGGACUUACUGGGCGUAAAGCGUGGGUAGGUGGUCGGUGAUGUGCCGUGUGAAAGCCCCGCGUUCAUCGGGGGGAGGUCGCGGUAGACACAUUGACUUGAGGCAUACAGAGGGCCGUGGAAUUCCCGGUGUAGUGGUGAAAUGCGUAGAUAUCAGGAGGAACACCGAUUGCGAAGGCAGCUCGCUGGGACGUUACUGACGCUGAGACGCGAAAGCGUGGGGAGCAAACAGG
rnacentral:rRNA from 1 species